UACGAAGGGGGCUAGCGUUGCUCGGAAUCACUGGGCGUAAAGCGCACGUAGGCGGCUUUCUAAGUCAGGGGUGAAAUCCUGGAGCUCAACUCCAGAACUGCCUUUGAUACUGAGAGCUUGAGUCCGGGAGAGGUGAGUGGAACUCGAGUGUAGAGGUGAAAUUCGUAGAUAUUCGCAAGAACACCAGUGGCGAAGGCGGCUCACUGGCCCGAUACUGACGCUGAGGCACGAAAGCGUGGGGAGCAAACAGG
rnacentral:rRNA from 1 species